rnacentral:antisense_RNA from 1 species
GGGCCCAGGUAUCAUAUACACCUCCAAAAUAAAGAGCCUUGAACACUAGGGAAAAGCACCUACACCUUAUAAGAUUAAGUGAAUAACCAAAAUAGUGGUCAUUUUUCAAUAGGAAAAAAGCUUAUAGGCAUCAACUCA